GACGAACGCUGGCGGCGUGCUUAACACAUGCAAGUCGAACGGAAAGGCCCUGCUUUUGUGGGGUGCUCGAGUGGCGAACGGGUGAGUAACACGUGAGUAACCUGCCCUUUACUUUGGGAUAACUUCAGGAAACUGGGGCUAAUACCGGAUAGGAUCUCCUGCUGCAUGGUGGGGUUUGGAUAGUUUCGGCGGUUGGGGAUGGACUCGCGGCUUAUCAGCUUGUUGGUCGGGUAGUUGCUUACCAAGGCUUUGACGGGUAGCAGGCCUGAGAGGGUGACCGGGGAAAAGGGGACUGAGAAAGGGACCAGAAGGCAACGGGAGGAAGAAGGGGGGAAUAUGGCAAAAUGGGAGGAAGCCAGAUGCAGAAACGCCGGGUGCGGGAUGACGGCCUUCGGGUUGUAAACCGAUUUAGAAUGUGACGAAGCGUGAGUGACGGUAAUGGGUAAAGAAGCACCGGCUAACUACGUG
rnacentral:rRNA from 1 species